GACAAACGCUGGCGGCGUGCUUAACACAUGCAAGUCGAACGGAAAGGCCCUGCUUUUGUGGGGUGCUCGAGUGGCGAACGGGUGAGUAACACGUGAGUAACCUGCCCUUGACUUUGGGAUAACUUCAGGAAACUGGGGCUAAUACCGGAUAGGAGCUCCUGCUGCAUGGUGGGGGUUGGAAAGUUUCGGCGGUUGGGGAUGGACUCGCGGCUUAUCAGCUUGUUGGUGGGGUAGUGGCUUACCAAGGCUUUGACGGGUAGCCGGCCUGAGAGGGUGACCGGCCACAUGGGGCUGAGGUUCCGGCCCGGACCCCUCCGGGGGGCAGCGGGGGGGAUUUUGGACCAAGGGGCGGAGGCCUAUGCCAGCAACCCCGGUUGCGGAUGACGGCCUUCGGGUUGUAAACCGCUUUCGCCUGUGACGAAGCGUGAGUGACGGUAAUGGGUAAAGAAGCACCGGCUAACUACGUG
rnacentral:rRNA from 1 species